rnacentral:rRNA from 1 species
GACGGAGGGGGCAAGCGUUGUCCGGACUCACUGGGCGUAAAGGGUGCGCAGGCGGUAUGGUGCGUCGGCGCUGAAAGCGCCCGGCUUAACCGGGCGAGGUGCGCCGAUACGAUCAUACUCGAGCCUCUGAGAGGGUGGCGGUACUCCUGGUGUAGUGGUGAAAUGCGUAGAGAUCAGGAAGAACACCCGUGGCGCAAGCGGCCACCUGGCAGAGCGCUGACGCUGAGGCACGAAAGCGUGGGGAGCGAACCGG